AGACCCGAAACCCGGUGAUCUAGCCAUGGGCAGGUUGAAGGUUGGGUAACACUAACUGGAGGACCGAACCGACUAAUGUUGAAAAAUUAGCGGAUGACCUGUGGCUGGGGGUGAAAGGCCAAUCAAACCGGGAGAUAGCUGGUUCUCCCCGAAAGCUAUUUAGGUAGCGCCUCGUGAAUUCAUCUCCGGGGGUAGAGCACUGUUUCGGCUAGGGGGCCAUCCCGGCUUACCAACCCGAUGCAAACUGCGAAUACCGGAGAAUGUUAUCACGGGAGACACACGGCGGGUGCUAACGUCCGUCGUGAAGAGGGAAACAACCCAGACCGCCAGCUAAGGUCCCAAAGUCAUGGUUAAGUGGGAAACGAUGUGGGAAGGCCCAGACAGCCAGGAUGUUGGCUUAGAAGCAGCCAUCAUUUAAAGAAAGCGUAAUAGCUCACUGGUCGAGUCGGCCUGCGCGGAAGAUGUAACGGGGCUAAACCAUGCACCGAAGCUGCGGCAGCGACGCUGAUGCGUUGUUGGGUAGGGGAGCGUUCUGUAAGCCUGUGAAGGUGGCCUGUGAGGGUUGCUGGAGGUAUCAGAAGUGCGAAUGCUGACAUAAGUAACGAUAAAGCGGGUGAAAAGCCCGCUCGCCGGAAGACCAAGGGUUCCUGUCCAACGUUAAUCGGGGCAGGGUGAGUCGACCCCUAAGGCGAGGCCGAAAGGC
rnacentral:rRNA from 1 species